AGUUCAGUUGGUUAGAAUGCCGCCCUGUCACGGCGGAGGUCGCGGGUUCGAGUCCCGUCCA
rnacentral:tRNA from 1 species